GCUGGGAUCGCAUAGCUUGGUUAGUGCGGCAGACUUAAGAUCUGUUGUCCUCCAAGGACAGUCGAAUGCGAGUGAGCGAAGCGAACUCGCUCACAAGUCACUGGGUUCAAAUCCCACUCCCAGCG
rnacentral:tRNA from 1 species